rnacentral:tRNA from 1 species
GCGGGUAUAGUUUAGUGGUAGAACUCCAGUCUUCCAAACUGGUUGCGACAGUUCGAUUCUGUCUACCCGCACCA